rnacentral:rRNA from 1 species
GACGAACGCUGGCGGCGUGCUUAACACAUGCAAGUCGAACGGACCGGCCCGGCUUUGGUGGGGUGCGCGAGUGGCGACCGGGUGAGUAACACGUUAGUACCCUGCCCUUGAUAGUGGUAUAUCUUCAGGCAGCUGGGGCUAAUAGCGGAUAGGAGCUCCUGCUGCAGGGUGGGCGUUGGAAAGUUUCGGUGGUUGGGGAUGGACUGGCGGCUUAUCAGCUUGUUGGUGGGGUAGUGGCUUACCAAGGCUUUGACGGGUAGCCGGCCUGAGAGGGUGACCGGCCACGUUACGCCUGAAAUGCGACACAGACUCCAAUGGUAGGAGACAGUGGAGAAGAGAACACUAUGGGCGGAACGCAGGUGCAGCACCGCAGCGCGGGGGAUGACGGCCUUCGGUUUGGAAACCGAUUUCGCCUGAGACGGGGCGUGAGUGACGGUAACGGGUAAAGAAGCACCGGCUAACUACGUG